UACAGAGGGGGCUAGCGUUGUUCGGAAUUACUGGGCGUAAAGCGCACGUAGGCGGCUUUGUAAGUUAGAGGUGAAAGCCCAGGGCUCAACCCUGGAAUUGCCUUCGAUACUGGGAGUCUUGAGUUCGGAAGAGGUUGGUGGAACUACGAGUGUAGAGGUGAGAUUCGUAGAUAUUCGCAAGAACACCAGUGGCGAAGGCGGCCAACUGGUCCGAAACUGACGCUGAGGCGCGAAAGCGUGGGGAGCAAACAGG
rnacentral:rRNA from 1 species